GCAAGUCGAACGCGAAAGGGACUUCGGUCCUGAGUAAAGUAGCGCACGGGUGAGUAACGCGUAGAUAACCUGUCUUCAUGUCUGGAAUAAUACGCCGAAAGGGGUACUAAUACCGGAUAUUCUUGCUUUUCAUAAGUUAUGCAAGCAAAGGUGGCCUCUGCAUAUGCUACUGCAUGAAGAGGGGUCUGCGUACCAUUAGCUAGUAGGUGGGGUAAUGGCCUACCUAGGCGACGAUGGUUAGCGGGUCUGAGAGGAUGAUCCGCCACACUGGCACUGGAACACGGGCCAGACUCCUACGGGAGGCAGCAGUGAGGAAUAUUGCGCAAUGGGGGAAACCCUGACGCAGCGACGCCGCGUGAGUGAGGAAGGCCUUCGGGUCGUAAAGCUCUGUCAAGAGGAAAGAAGUGUACAAUGGCUAAUACCUGUUGUAUUUGACGGUACCUCUAAAGGAAGCACCGGCUAACUCCGUGCCAGCCGCGGC
rnacentral:rRNA from 1 species